UGGAAAAGCUAGCAAAUGGAGAUGAGAGGAACAUAUUGAGGCCUUUGGCUCGUGCACCAGGGAGUUUUGAGACCUGCAUUCCAGUGCUCGUAUGUGACUGCGUUACUGUACGAUUUGAAAUCAGGAGAUUGUGUUUCUGCAGGCCGCUCCAUGCUCAGCCCUACAUCUGAGAUGUGCUCUCCAGCCGGGCAGGGAUCAGGAUAACGAUACAUCCUCUAGACACGUCCCUGACUAAGCUGCUGAACUGUCAGUGCAGCGUCCAUGAAUGAUGGGACCCAACCCGGGAAAUUGGCCAGAAGCAACAAUGGCUUCAGGCUUGGCGAAAUGGACUAAAACAUGGAGUAUCUAAACUGGGGCAAUACCAGAAGUUCUUGCAAACAGUGUGGCCCUUUCUUCUCAGACAUCGGACAUACCACAUCUGUUACCUGCUUAAUCAUCCAUCCGCUCCUUUGCUACAGCGGCAUAUCCAGGAUUCUGUAUCCUAUCAUUGUUCUUUGUGGAUACCAUGUACAUCUUUAAAGAAUAAGUGUAAAUUAAUUAAAGUUAUGAUUUCAAAA